GAUGAACGCUGGCGGCGUGCCUAAUACAUGCAAGUCGAGCGAACGGACGAGAAGCUUGCUUCUCUGAUGUUAGCGGCGGACGGGUGAGUAACACGUGGAUAACCUACCUAUAAGACUGGGAUAACUUCGGGAAACCGGAGCUAAUACCGGAUAAUAUUUUGAACCGCAUGGUUCAAAAGUGAAAGACGGUCUUGCUGUCACUUAUAGAUGGAUCCGCGCUGCAUUAGCUAGUUGGUAAGGUAACGGCUUACCAAGGCAACGAUGCAUAGCCGACCUGAGAGGGUGAUCGGCCACACUGGAACUGAGACACGGUCCAGACUCCUACGGGAGGCAGCAGUAGGGAAUCUUCCGCAAUGGGCGAAAGCCUGACGGAGCAACGCCGCGUGAGUGAUGAAGGUCUUCGGAUCGUAAAACUCUGUUAUUAGGGAAGAACAUAUGUGUAAGUAACUGUGCACAUCUUGACGGUACCUAAUCAGAAAGCCACGGCUAACUACGUGCCAGCAGCCGCGGUAAUACGUAGGUGGCAAGCGUUAUCCGGAAUUAUUGGGCGUAAAGCGCGCGUAGGCGGUUUUUUAAGUCUGAUGUGAAAGCCCACGGCUCAACCGUGGAGGGUCAUUGGAAACUGGAAAACUUGAGUGCAGAAGAGGAAAGUGGAAUUCCAUGUGUAGCGGUGAAAUGCGCAGAGAUAUGGAGGAACACCAGUGGCGAAGGCGACUUUCUGGUCUGUAACUGACGCUGAUGUGCGAAAGCGUGGGGAUCAAACAGGAUUAGAUACCCUGGUAGUCCACGCCGUAAACGAUGAGUGCUAAGUGUUAGGGGGUUUCCGCCCCUUAGUGCUGCAGCUAACGCAUUAAGCACUCCGCCUGGGGAGUACGACCGCAAGGUUGAAACUCAAAGGAAUUGACGGGGACCCGCACAAGCGGUGGAGCAUGUGGUUUAAUUCGAAGCAACGCGAAGAACCUUACCAAAUCUUGACAUCCUUUGACAACUCUAGAGAUAGAGCCUUCCCCUUCGGGGGACAAAGUGACAGGUGGUGCAUGGUUGUCGUCAGCUCGUGCCGUGAGAUGUCGGGUUAAGUCCCGCAACGAGCGCAACCCUUAAGCUUAGUUGCCAUCAUUAAGUUGGGCACUCUAAGUUGACUGCCGGUGACAAACCGGAGGAAGGUGGGGAUGACGUCAAAUCAUCAUGCCCCUUAUGAUUUGGGCUACACACGUGCUACAAUGGACAAUACAAAGGGCAGCGAAACCGCGAGGUCAAGCAAAUCCCAUAAAGUCGUUCUCAGUUCGGAUUGUAGUCUGCAACUCGACUACAUGAAGCUGGAAUCGCUAGUAAUCGUAGAUCAGCGUGCUACGGUGAAUACGUUCCCGGGUCU
rnacentral:rRNA from 1 species